GACGAACGCUGGCGGCGUGCUUAACACAUGCAAGUCGAACGGAAAGGCCCUGCUUUUGUGGGGUGCUCGAGUGGCGAACGGGUGAGUAACACGUGAGUAACCUGCCCUUGACUUUGGGAUAACUUCAGGAAACUGGGGCUAAUACCGGAUAGGAGCUCCUGCUGCAUGGUGGGGGUUGGAAAGUUUCGGCGGUUGGGGAUGGACUCGCGGCUUAUCAGCUUGUUGGUGGGGUAGUGGCUUACCAAGGCUUUGACGGGUAGCCGGCCUGAGAGGGUGACCGGCCACAUUGGGCCUGGGAUACGGCCCAGACUCGAACGGGACGCAGCAGUGGGGAAUAUUACACAAUGGGCGGAAGCCUGAUGCAACAACGCCGCGUGGGGGAUGACGGGCUUCGGGUUGUAAACCGCUUUCGCCUGUGACGAAGCGUGAGUGACGGUAAUGGGUAAAGAAGCACCGGCUAACUACGUG
rnacentral:rRNA from 1 species